rnacentral:lncRNA from 1 species
UUCACUCUUGCAAAAUCAUUUAAAUAGUUUUUAAUCUUCCAAGAAGUAUUAUUUUGUCCCAAAUGGGCCUAGACUUGUUAUCAAUAAUACGCAUUAUACUAAAUAGAUAUUUAACCAAAUUGAUUGUUUGCAAAUGCAAAUUUACAUCCUGAUGUGACCAUAUAUAUAUAUUAUGAAAACAUGUGACCACAUAUGUUUGACAAGACAUAUGGUGUACAAGCUAACCGUCUCAUGUGCAGUCACAUCCAAUUUAUAUAUGAGAAGGAC